UCAAGCUACAAAGAGCGUAAGGGGAAUGCCUUGGCACCAGGAGCCGACGAAGGACGCAGCGAUCUGCGAAAAGCCACGGGGAGCCGAAAGCAGGCUUUGAUCCGUGGAUAUCCGAAUGGGGAAACCCGCAUGGUUAAUAGCCAUGCGACGUAUACUGAAUAAAUAGGUAUGCGUCGGGAACCGUCUGAACUGAAACAUCUAAGUAGGACGAGGAAAAGAAAUCAACCGAGAUUCCGUAAGUAGUGGCGAGCGAACACGGAAGAGGCCAAACCGAAGGUAGCAAUAUCUUCGGGGUACGGACAGUAAACGGCAUUGCGGUAUCUUAGCAGAAGUGCAUGGGACGGCACACCAUAGAGAGUGAUAGUCUCGUAAGCGAAAAGAGAAGGCAGCCAACUGUAUCCAGAGUACCGCCGGACACGUGAAACCCGGUGGGAAGAUGGGGGGACCAUCCUCCAAGCCUAAAUACUCCCUGGUGACCGAUAGAGAACAGUACUGUGAAGGAAAGGUGAAAAGAACCCCGGGAGGGGAGUGAAAAGAACCUGAAACCUUGUGCUUACAAGCACACAAAGCACGUCAACGUGUGAUGUGGUACCUUUUGUAGAAUGGUCCGGCGAGUGAAUGUAACUGGCGAGGUUAAGUUCUUAAGGAACGGAGCCGAAGCGAAAGCAAGUCUGAAUAGGGCGUCUUAGUCAGUUGUAUUCGACCCGAAACCGGGUGACCUAUCCAUGUCCAGGAUGAAGUUAAGGUAAAACUUGAUGGAGGUCCGAACCCACGGUCGUUGAAAUGCCCGGGGAUGAGAUGUGGAUAGCGGAGAAAUUCCAAUCGAACCCGGAUAUAGCUGGUUCUCUCCGAAAUAGCUUUAGGGCUAGCCUCGACUGAACAUUACCGGAGGUAGAGCACUGAAUGGGCUAGGGGCCGAGAGGUUACUGAACCCUAUCAAACUUCAAAUGCCGGAAAAUGAUAGUCGGGAGUCAGACUGCGUGAGAUAAGUUUCGUAGUCGAAAGGGAAACAGCCCAGACCCACAGCUAAGGUCCCAAAGUACGGUUAAGUGGAAAAGGAUGUGGAGUUGCACAGACAACCAGGAUGUUGGCUUAGAAGCAGCCACUCAUUAAAAGAGUGCGUAAUAGCUCACUGGUCGAGUGACUCUGCGCCGAAAAUUUAACGGGGCUAAAUCGUACACCGAAGCUUGGGAUGUAUCUAUGAUACAUGGUAGGAGAGCGUUGAAUGCGGGGUGAAGUCAGAGCGAAAGCGCUGGUGGACUGCAUUGAAGUGAGAAUGCCGGAAUGAGUAGCGAGAUUUAUGUGAGAAUCAUAAAGGCCGAAAGACUAAGGUUUCAGAAGGAAGGUUCGUCCGCUUCUGGUUAGCCGGGAGCUAAGGUGAGGCCGAAAGGCGUAGCCGAUGCACAUACGGUGGAGAUUCCGUAGCCGUCGAAAUAUUUAAGCAAAGGGACACUUAUGAAGGACAUGACCCGGGCGAUGGUAGCCCCGGGCGUAAGGGACUGAAAACAAGUAAGGAAGCAUGUUUGGAUUAAGGCGAGAAAAGCUUUGUGUAUAUAUUAGACGUCCGUACCGCAAACCGACACAGGUAGUCAGGAAGAGGAUUCUAAGGCCAACGGGAGAAGGGUAGUUAAGGAACUCGGCAAAUUGACCCCGUAACUUCGGAAUAAGGGGUGCUCACGAGAGUGAGCCGCAGUGAAUAGGUCCAGGCGACUGUUUAUCAAAAACACAGCUCUCUGCUAAAUCGAAAGAUGACGUAUAGGGGGUGACACCUGCCCGGUGCUGGAAGGUUAAGAGGAAGGGUGCAAGCUCUGAAUUGAAGCCCCAGUAAACGGCGGCCGUAACUAUAACGGUCCUAAGGUAGCGAAAUUCCUUGUCGGGU
rnacentral:rRNA from 1 species